AGAGAACCAUGAGCUACAGUUCUUUAAACAGAACCCAGAGACAAGCAUCAGAAAGCCUGAGCAGGAAUAUACCACAAUAUUUGGGAAGAGAAGACAACCAGAAGACGAAAAACGAAGACGAGAAGAGAAAAGAAGAAAGGGGCUCUCUGGACUGACUCUCAGAGACCCCAUCCAAAAUGUAUAGGUCUACGAAAGGUGCAUCAAAAGCCAGAAGGGAUCAAAUUAAUGCGGAGAUCCGAAACUUGAAGGACCUCCUUCCCAUCUCUGAAGGAGAUAAAGUACGGCUAUCCUACCUGCACAUCAUGUCGCUCGCUUGUAUCUAUACAAGGAAGUCGGUUUUCUUCUCUAGAGGUCAACAGAUGAAUGAGCUGGAAGGUCUACUUUCUAGUCAAGACUUACAAGAUUUCCUACACAACCUUCCUGGCUUCUUACUCACCUACACGAGUGAAGGGAAACUGAUCUAUGUGUCUGAAAACGUGACCGAUCAUCUCGGACAUUCAAUGGUUGAUCUGGUUGCCCAAGGAGACAGCAUUUAUGACAUCAUUGACCCUUCUGAUCACUUUGUCAUGAGAAACCAGUUGUCUCUCCCAUCAUCACUCGAUAGUGAGAGAAUGUUCAGGUGCAGGUUCAAUACUUCAAAGACAGCCCGGAGACAGAGUGCGGGGAACAAGUUGGUCCUCAUAAGGGGAAGGUUUCAGCAGGCUCCAACUGGAACCUAUUGGUCCUCAAACCCAGUCUUCACCGCUUUCUGCAUUCCUCUUGACCCAAAACCCAGAGUGACCCACAACCAUUUCCUAAUGGACUUCUUUGAGAGUCGCCAUGCCAAGGACCUCUCUGUCUUGGAAGUUUCAGAAAGCUCCUUUCUGCACUUGGGUUAUGAGAAAAAUGAUUUACUUUCCAAGUCGUGGUACAAUCUCAUUCACCCUGAAGACCUGACACAGAUGUCUACCCAGCAUUACAAACUAUUAAGUGACUCUGGUGAAUGCAGAGCAGAAGUGGUGUUACGUUUGCAGACAAGAGACCAGCGGUGGAUAUGGGUCUAUUCUUUGAUGGUCCUGGAGAACACUGAUGCUCCAAUCACAUCUUACAACUACAUAAUAAGUGACGCAGAAGCCUGGUGCCUGAGGCAACAGCUGACUUCAGAGGAGUCUCCACUUUCUUUCCCAGUUGGGGGUCCUUCCUUCCAAGAGACACUUCUCUCCCCAGCAGAUCUUUCCAGUCCAGAUCAAGUGUUCACUCCCCUUGCAAACACACCUACGAGCAUCAGCCAGUCCUUCGAGUUUUCAGAGUCUGUGUCUGUCAGUCCUGAAGAUCCUAUCCUGUGUCAGAAUACCAUAUCCAUUAUGGAAGAUACAGUUGCAACUGAGGGACAAUUAGAAAACCAGUCUUUAUUUACCCUUUACCAACCAACAUCCUAUGAUCAGAGUUUCCGAAGAGAGCAUGCAGGGACUGCACCACCCAAAGAUUUUACUUGCACUCCUCCAUACACUCCACACCAAAACUGUACUUUCCUCUUCGGGUCUUCAGAAAGUGUCCCACAGACAUCUUCUGAUCAGGACAGUACUACCUUAAAUCCAGAACUUUAUUACUCCUACUGCAGUUCCCUCUAUGAGAAGCUGCCACCAACCCCUGAUAGUCCUGGGGAUGGAGGAGACUGCACAAUAAUGACAGUGCCAGAAAUAACCAGUCCUCUCUUUGUGGAUCUACCAAUGCUUCCCGAGGGGUUAGUAACCCCAGAGACAUCACCCAUCAACCAAGUAAUCUUCAGGUAUUCCGAGCAAGAGAAGAAUGAUAUCGAUCUCUUAGUGAAACAAAUUGGCUCUUUGGCCAACGUCUUCAGUAAUGUGGCUACUAAAGAUAAUCCAUGCUCUGAGAGUGUGGUAUUGAGUGGCCAUGGGCUGGCAUGCCGAAGUGUUUCUCUCCCUGCCAGUCUUCCAGAUGCAGAUAUUAAUCCUAACUUUCCUCGGUCCUGGAAGAGCAUUGACUUAUCUCUUUUCUUGACAUGUCAAGAGCAGUCGCUCCCCACCGGUAGCCAUCCGGUUUGCAGUCUUUUCAAGGACUUCCCUGAUUCUCCACCUUUUGCAGCUAUGGGGUCUCCUUGCAGUCCCUUGGAGGAGGAUGAAGUAGGAGGGGAACUCUCCACAUCUCCUUCCAUGAUGUCGAACGUGACGACUGAUCUGUCGCCAGAAGAAUGUAACUUCUUAGAGGAACUGAUGUCCUACAAAACAGACCUUGAGGCAGGUGCCUCAGAGAUUCAAUGUGACCAGUUUAAUGAUGAGUUGUAUCAACUCCAGAUUGAGCUACAAGACGGCUUCCAGCACGAUGGAAGUGGAAAACCUUCGUUUUGAAAUAAGUCUGUGACUUACUUCGAUAUGUAUGGCAUAUUGUCAUAUUCUGAGCAGAUUUUUCCUGCCUACUUAAGAACAAAUCAAGACGCACAACGUGGGAGAAAAGAACGACUUUCUGCGUCGUACGACUCUCCCAUUCAUCGCAAAACUGUUUUGUUCCCUUUUUCAUUCCUCUAUUCUCUUUUUCUCUGAAUUUUGUGCACGUUUACAAGAGAUCUCUUUUGUUUUCAUUUGAAAAUAAGGGUUAAAGCAAUGGCCCAUCAUUACACAAUGAUUGCAAAGAUUUAUGAGGACAACCAAAACGUACAUCACACAAUUUGUAAAAUAAAUUGAUAUUUAAAUAUAUAUAUAUAUUUAUUUUUAUAUAUUAAAAUACAUUUAUAUUUUAUAUAUUUAAAUAAAUAUAAAUAAUAUUAUCACAAAGACAAAAUUCCCACUGGGAAAUAUUUGCUUGGACAAAAUCUCACAACUCGAUGGGCCAUUGUUUUCGAACAUUUGUACGACAUGUCGAUUUAUAACACAAAAAAAAAAGAAAUAAGGCUUUGCAGAAUUGGUCAGAAAGAGAAAAAAAGGUGUAUAUUGAGAAAGGAAGUUGUAUGUAGUUUACAUAACUAACAAAAAAAAAAGUAUUCACUCAUAGUGAAACUAACAAAAAGGUAUAUAUAGGGUAUUUUGCCAGUAUUAUAACCAGUGGAAUAUUUUGAUUUUGGGCGGGGGGGGGGAGAGAACUUAUAAAAAAAAAAAUUUAAAAAAAUGGUUUAUCUUUCGAUAUUUAUGUACGGUAGAGAGAUUUGAUCCAAAAUAUUGGCAGAAGGUCUAAAGAUUUACCAAAAAAGAAAUUGACCCGCUGGUAUGAAUUUUAGCGUAGAAAUAUAGGGAGGAUCUGCUCUAGCGCCUCCAAUAGGCGCCAAAAAUACAAGCCACCACUCAUUAUUUCAACAUCAACAUCCCAAGUGAUGGUAACAUCCGGUCUAUAGUAAUACUAGAGGCACACUGGUUGGGAAACGUUGAUAUAGACACAAAUUUACAUAAUCUGCAUUUUACAUUUACAUAAUCUGCAUAAACAUAUUCAUAUAUCCACCCUUGUAAAUACUGGUUGGUGGCUUGUUGUUUUGAUGCCUAUCUUAGACCUCCUACUACUAUAGGUGCAUAAAUUGCACCCGUUUAUCCUAAUUUUAAGUCGAUACUGUUUUGGACUUUAACCUAUGUAUUUACAUUUUAAAUGUAAACGAUAACAUUUAAAAAAAAAAAAAAAUUACCGAAAUGUAUUAAGGACUGGGGUUACAUUAAUCCCAGAAAAAAAGAGGUAUUUCCAGAGAAUGUGGAUAUAGCUAAAGAUUCUCUCCCUUAUGUUUAAGGUGCAAUUGUUGACGUAAAAAAAAUAAAAUCUAAACGCACAUAUACUAGCCGUAUGUCCCCCACCUCCAAGAGGUAUAUGCAUUGCAUAGAACAAAUGUGGGGCUCCGGUUUUUCCAAUUCCAUAUUAAAAUUUUUUUUAUUUAUCUGUGCUAUUGGCAUUAACAUAUAGGCCAAAUAUAAAGCUGAAUUAAUUGUAUUGGAUCACUGACCUAAGUGUGAAAUCCCGGUACACAACUACUUGUGCCUUUUAGGCCGUGUUUAUACACUGUAAAAUCAGAGAUACGCAUUUAAAAAAAAAAAAAAAACAUGAAAAA